GCAAAGAUAAAUGGAUAAAAGGACAGUCCAACUCCUCAGCUGGCUGAAAGACAUCGUCAUCCAUUUUUGGUGGUGUUGUAAGACAGCUGACACAGCUGAGCAGUUUCUUUUCUGUUUUAGCAAGCAAUUAAUUACCAUGUCUGUGACAUUCACAUCUGGACUAUGGAAAGCUGUCACCAUGUGUACCUGGAAUAAAUGGAUGGAAAGGAGUGAGAGAGAGACUCCAAGUGCCACAAAGCUUGAAUGGACAGAGUUCUCAAUCAGUGUUGGCAGAAGGAUGUACAUGAAUAUGUGCACUUUAGGUAAAUAUGCAGUACCAGUCAAAAGUUUGGACACACCUUUUAAUUCAAUGGAUUUUCUUUAUUUUUAUUAAUUAAGACACGUCAUAAAGUAAUAAUGGAUAAUUAUUUACAGUACUAGUGCACCCCCUUUUAUUUAUUUAUUUAUUUUUUUAAAAACACGUUUUAUAUUCAAGUGAUCAUUUGCAUGCACACUCAAGGUUGUAUAAUGAAUAACUGAUAAUGGUUGACAUUUGUGUAACUGUGCAAUUGUGGAAGGGAAACAGGCAAGUAAAACAGCCCGCCUGUCCCUGUCUCUUUAGUCUCUCAAACCCUGCUGUGUCAGUGUUUUAUCUGAAAAUUUUAAAAUAUACCCAAAUUAAAAAUAGUAUUUAAUGUGAGCAUUGUCAAUAUUAUUUUUUCACACAAAAUAUAGCUGUCACACAGUAUCACGUCAUUUCUACCAGAACAAUGUAAUUUUCCUCAAAAAGGUCUGUAUGGGGGGGUUGUUUAGGUAGUUGCUAUGGAAAUGGACAGUGAUGACAGAGCAUAUGUCUGAUAUGGGGGAGAUGCACAUCUUUAUAUACAGCUAUUGAACAAAUAUCAAGGUGAAUAUUGCUUGGGCAGAAAAUAUUUUUACUGGAUGUCUUUUCCAAACAUGCUGUACCUUCAUGGAUGUUUGUAAGAGGAUAGAUUUUUUUUUUAAGUUAAACAAGUGUAUUUUGUGUGUAUCAUAUGCUAACUAUCAAUUUACAGCUAAUAUGUCAAGCUACCUCACAGUUGUUUUUUGUUCACAAAAUACUGUAGAAAUGUCAUUUCCACCACACUUCCCUCUGUGGUAUAAACGACAUCUAUGUUGAUAAGGUACAAGUAAUAUGGAUUGCAAAAAUAGAUGUCAUACUAUGUUUAUAUCUUAAAUAAAAUUAAUUUUAUUUAA